GCCGCUAUAUUACAGGUGGUAAGUAGAAAAGCAACGAUAGCACAAGAAUAGCAUUUGAAAAAAUAUUUGCCUUACUUGAUAAUCUGUUCCUUUGCCAUUUAGGACCAGAAAAGUAUCCAAUUUCCUCGGGAUUUACUAUUUUAUAUAGUUUA